CUAAACAACUUAGGGCCGUUUGGCUAGAUAUAAUUAUAAAUGCAGUGUAGUUAGAGAUGCAUGCCGUUAAAAAUACAGUAGUUAUAACUACAUGAAUUUUGUUUGGUUGGAUGUAGUAGAAAGCGCUGUAAGUAUAAAUAAUUUAUUUGGUUGCAUGCAGUUGAGAAAUAAUUUUUAAAAUUUUAUUAUUUUAUAUAUAUAUGAUGGGGAGAUUACCUCCAAUGUAAAAAGAAAAAUAAUCUUUAUUUGAAAAAUAUUGAGGAGGUAAGCAUACCUUUUAUUUAAAGUUGCUCUCUCCAACUAUUGUAAUUGGAACUACGGCCAAUUUGGGCGUAGUUCGAACUGCUGCAGUUGGGCCUCCUCCUGCAGUUCCUACUGCAGCAGUUGGAGUUAAACACAUCAAACCAAAUACGAAAUUUGCAUUUACAUGCAGUUACAACUGCAUUGCAGCUGCAACUACAUGCAACCAAACGGCCCCUUAAGAGUAGUUUAGUUUAUACAGUUUUAUGACUAAGUAAACUACAAAAAGAAAAUAAAAGGAUUGUAUAGUGUUUAUAUCAAUGUUGUGAUUUUGUUUAGUGUCUAUAAAUGCCCUUGAAGUUGCUAUUCUCACUAUAAUAAAAACGGUGUGUAGUGAUACUUUUAAAUAUUAUUGAUAUAGGUCAAAAAAGUGUUGUUGGCUAAAUUACCAACGCUUUUUAAAAGUGUUACUAUAUAUGGAGUCGCUAUAGUAGGGCCGCCUCGAUAUUUGGCAUCCACUUCUCUAGCGACUUGUGUGGAGGGAUAUGUGGCAAUCGUAGCCCUCUAGGGUCCUGCGAGAUUCUCCCAGUCGAACUCCAGCCAUCGAAAUCCUAUCUUGCCGGCUGCGGCCGAGGAGGAGAAGGCGAGAUAGUGAUCAAACUUUUUUUUUUUUUCUUUUUUAUUUGUAAUCGGGCCGAGUAGGCUGUGUGUGGUUGGUUGAAUAGAUGAACUUUUUAUUUUUGAUUGGAUUGAGCUUUAUAUUUAGGCGUUAGUAGAUUUUUUUAAAAGAUUUUGACAUAAAUGGAACACUUAUAUAAAAGAGUCCAAAAAAUAUGUCCCUAUAAUCUAAUUUUUUUGUAGUGUCUUGGUUUUUGAAUCUAUACUAAUGGAUAUGGAUUGUAUUUUAAAUUGUGUUUUAGCUUCAACCCGAUCCAAAGCUCAUUAGAAUCAGUAUUUAGUUUCAGGUUUCAAAUUAAAGUUAGAUCAAAUUCAAACUCACGUGUCAAAUAGUAUAAAAUAAUUAUUUUUCUCUGAAAGUUUAAGAGUUCUCAAAAGAACAGCGUUUUUUAUAUGCUUAGUCUCGUCAUAAUUUGAGUUUGUUUUUAUUUUCAAUCAAUACUAAUAAUGUACAUGGAUUGUAUUGGAAAAGAAUCAAAUCGAGGUAUUAAGGAAUAGUGGAAGCAAACACAUAAGCGAUAAUAAUAAACACAAAGAAAUCAUGUAAUCGCACAACCAAGAAUACUGAUAUUUACGUGGUUAGACCGAAACUAGUAUCUCCGGAUAUCAGAGUAAGAAGAAACUUCAUUAUAACAUAGUUAAGAGUACAAUAUUUUCUUCGAGACACCGAGUUCAGCUGAAAAUAUGAAACUCUCCCCAAAUCAAAGUUAGAUCAAAUUCAGCCUCCAAUGUUAAAUAACAUAACACAUUCUUUUUUCUCUGUAGACUCAAGAUCCUAAAGAAUAGUAUUUUUUGGUGCAAUUCGAAUUCAUGAUCCCCUGCUAUGAAACUAUGCAAAAAUAAUGUGAAACGAUUAUUUUUCUUAUAAUAUUUAUAUUCAACAAUUGGGCAAACAACAUGCCCCUAUAAAUAAACAAAAAAACAAAUCAUGUACAUACGUAUCAGGCGAUACAAAUAGUGUUACAGUACACCGAAAUGAAAAUACGCUAUACCAUAAGAUUUUUUUUUUUUUUUUACAUUUUUUGAAAAGUUUAAUGUAUACACAUAUUGCUAGCAUUGAAUUGGAGUAAAGCCACACACUAUGUAUGGAGAGAGCCCCACCAUGUGAGGUUGUGAGACAAACCCUUGGCCUCCUUUUAAGAGAAAGGAACCCAGAAAUUUAGUGCAUUGUCCCCAAUCACUUUUCAUUAAUUUUCCUUUUGUUACUCCUCGUGUUUACAACAAGCAACUCAAGAGUUUUAACAACAUUAACCAAAAAAAAAAAAAAAAUGUAAUUUUCUUUUAACAUACAUUGAUCUGACACUUUUUUAUUUGUUUUCUCUGGUUACUGUAAUUAUCAUUCUAUAUAUUUGCAACCAAUUGAAAGUAAAAUGGUGCAAAACAUGUGAGUGAGUACAACAUUACUCGAAAAAAUAUUAUUUUCUUAAUAAAACAAGAAGAAGAAUAAACAAAUAAUCAGUGUAAUGAAAUUUAAGCAUUAAUAAUUAGUUGUUGAGUUUAAGAUCUAAACAUUUGUAUUACUAGUUGAUAUAUAGUUGUUUAUAUACAUUUGGUCCCCCAAAAGAUACGGGCUAAAAUACAAAAUUAAUUCGCUUUUAUCGUACACUUUCUCCUAGUUUUCUAUUAUCUUUCUAUAUUUUUAUUGUAAUGUCAUUAAUUCUUAUGUUUUGCUCUUCUCGAUAUGUUCACGACUUUUAAAGUGAUUGUUAAAUUCCAUGCUAUAUUUGUUUUCGUUCUUUCAAAUAGUAUAUCAAUAUUAUGCUACGGUCAUUUUAUAAAAAGUUGUGACAUACGAUUCUUAUCUUUAAUGUUUAAGAGAUUAAAUUUUAUUCGUUUAUUUCACUUGUUAAUCUCACAUAUUUUUUAUAUCCGUAUAUGAGUAGGGAUGUUAAAUAGAUCUUUUGAGCUUUUUUUACUAGUCAUUUGUGUGACAUUUUGGAGCAACAUGAUAGUAAGGAGUUGACUAAUGACAUGGAUGAUUGAUCCUCAAAAUAAUAAUUAAUUAGAAGUAUUUGAUUUGAAGUAGAGAACAAGAUGAGUGUAACAUUGCAACUUAAGCAUUAGACACUUAGGGGUUGUUUGGUUUUUCAAAAAAGUGUGAAAAAUAAAAUUCCGAGAUACAAGGUUUUCACGGAAAAGCUCUUUUUCAAUUUUUUGUCUUUUUCAAUUUUUCGUCUGUUUCGUUCCAAGAAUAUUUAGUAUUUUUAGAAAACUUCUUUCGAAAUUUUAUGAAAAAUUAACAUUUUUAUUUUUCUACGAAAAAUUCAGAAAACAAAAUUGUUAAUUUGCCAUAAAAUUUGAAAAACAAGUUUCGAUAAAAGCUAUUUUUUUUUUUUAAAAAGAAACCAAACAGACAGAAAACUGAAAAUGCGAUUUUUCAUGAAAAAAAGAUUUCUUGAAAAACUUUUUCAUACUUUUCCGACAAACCAAACACCCCCUUAGCUUAAUUAUUUCUACUAUGUUUAUCUUGCAUUAAUAUUUGCAUAUAUACUCAUUUCCAUUACUUUUCCAUUACAAUUCAUAGUUAUCCUAAAUUUAAGGACUUAUUUGAGGCUAUAUAGAGUACAAUACCAAAUUCAUAUUGCAUCAGUUAAAACUACGGGUGUGUUUGGUUCAAAUUCGAAAUCGGCAUCAGAAUCAGAAUAAAAAUAAGCUGAAAACGGAAUCAGAAUGAUUCAUUACCUCAUUCUGUUUGGUUCGCCAUCUGAAUCAGAAUUGAAAUAAACCAUUCCCUUUGUCGGUGUUUGGUUCAAAUAGAUAUUAGAAACGUAAUAAAAUUAAUAUACCAAUUUUAUCUUUAUAAUAUAUUAAUUUAAAUUCAAACUGAAAAUUAAAUAUUAAAAAUUUACGUCAAAAUUUUAAAAUGAUGUCAAAAUUUUAAAUAUAUUUUUUAAAAAAAAUUAAAUUUUGAUUUUUGAACGGAUAAUUCAACUAAAUUUCGAUUUAUUCAAAUUCAAACUUAAAAUUAUAAUUUUAAUUUCAAUUUGAAUCAAUAAAUUUAAUUUAAAUUUUAAAUAAAAUUUGAAUAAAAACUUUAGAUUUUAAAUUUAAAUUUAUAAAUUAGAUUCGAAAUGUUUGAUUGAAUUUUAAUUUUAAUUUAAGUUCAAAUUAAAAGUAAAAUUUAUAAAUAUAAUUUUUAAACUUAAACUUAUGUUUAAAAAAUAAGCUUAAAAAAGUUAAAUCCAAUCCGAACAAACCCAUUCCGCUCGGAUUCAAUUUUUAAUCUAGUCUCCUACGCUAGAUUAAAAACAAAGGGUAAUUGGGAGGAUUCUCAUUCAUCCGAAAAUCGAAAUUGGAAUGAAAACUUCGCAUACCAAAUACGGACAAACGGAUUCAUCAAUUUUGAUUCCGAUCCCAGGGCGAAAAAUGGGCAAACCAAACACACCCUACAUGUAGAGAGUAAAUAUGGGUGGGAAAAAGUGCAAGGAUGGAUCUUGUAAUUUAGCCAAAUUUAAGUAGAUUAGACUUGCUUGAAAUCCAAUUUGAGUCACAAAUAGGGAUGAACAUCUUUGUCUAAAGAGAGUUAUUAAAUAGUUUGAUUUUUGUUAAUAGAGAAUAGGAUAGAUCUCAGUUUAAUUUUUUAUAUUUUUAUUUCUUUAUUUAUUUUUUGUAUAGAAUGGUCCAUCCCUAGUUUACUACUGAUCUUCCUAGCCCCAAACUACUAAUCAAUUUGGUUUAUCAACAACUUGCGGAAACAGCUAUAAUUGGUUGGAUGGACCAGUAUGCUUAAUAAUUUUCUAUCCAUAUUUCUAUUCCAACUAAAUUACUGAUAUCUAAAUAGUAAUAUGUCGUAGUAGAUUUAAAGGGAUAAUUGCUUAUAUACCCUUUGUACGUUUGAAAAUAUUCGAUUUAUUCCUUUUUUUUUCUAAAAUAUCUCUUAUAUGUUCCACCGUUAUUGCAAAAUACCCCCGCAGUUAUCUCCUGUUAAGUUAACUUGAGUUAAACGUGAGUUAAAUAUCUACCACAGUUAAAAAAAAUUAAAAUAUCAAUUUUGCCCUUAACUUAAGGGCAAAUAAGAAAUAUUGGUGACGGUAGAGGGGUAUAUUGGAAAAGACCAAAAGUCAAAGUAGUUUUUUUGCCCCUGACUUUAAAAGCAAAUAAGAAAGUUAGUGAUGGUGGAAGGGUAUAUUUGAAAAGGCAAAAUAGUAAUUUUAUAGAGGUAACAGAGUUAAUUAACAGAUUUUAACUCUAAAAAUAGGUUGGAACGUAGAAAAGAUAUUUUCAAUAUUAGUCUUCUAAGAGGGGUAAAUCGAAAAGUUGGAAACUUUUCAAGGGUAUAUAAGUAAUUGCCCCUUGAAUAAAAGUGUAUAGAACUAAACUUAGAGUCAAGGAUUUAAAUGUCGUGGCACGGAAUCGUGUCGGAAACUUGCCGGCACGGUACGGCACGGUGCGUGCCAAGCCGUGCCGAUGGAUGCCGGUCAAAAAUUUUUGUCUGCCGACACAUAAUAGUAUGAAAUAAUUAUUUUCUUUAGCAACAAAAUAUUUUAACUAUUUAUUAUGUCUUUUUAUCACAUAUUUUGAACUUUAUUGAGAAAAUUACUUACUAAUUUAAAGAAUAGGGGGUUUUGAGCUGUGCCAUCGGUACGGGGUCUGUAUCAUGUCGUUAUCUUGUUGACACGGCACAAUACGGUAGAUACGGUCGUGUUGACGGGCACUUAAAAUCUUGCUAAGAGUAAAUUAAGUGCUAAUUUUUUAGAAUGUUUUUUAUUAGAUUGUUAGUAGUAUGUUGACAUCAUCUUUUUUAAAUGUUUUAUGAUAUAUUUGUUAAGCGUAUUAACAAAUUAUUAGGAGCCUUUGUGGAAUAAAACCAAUGCAUUUCCUAUACAUUAGAUUUUAUCUCACCUCUCUCUCUCUCUCUCUCUCUCUCUCUCUCUCUACAUAUGAUGUGUCCAAUCAUAUGAAUUCAUGAAAGAGGCAAUUGCUUCUCCAUGCCACAUGCAUUUGUACUUUGCUAAGAAGCUCUUUUGUCACUUGUGCUUGGAGGCAAGUUAUAAAAAACACACAUCUUGCUUCUUUUAUGGUAUCUCAUAUAUCUUAACAAGGGCUAGUAUGGUCCCUCCCUCUUAUCUUAAAAAAGGCCAUGCAUAUCAGUUUUAUCAAUGAGUUUUCUCUUUUUAAGUUCAGUCAAAUUCAUGUCUGAGAUUGUAAAUUUGGACUAAUCAUUUUUUUUCACAUGUUGUUUAAUAAAUAUUUCGACUGGAAUUUAAAUUUUAUAAAAUUAUUUCUAAAAUAUUUCCAAAUGGAUUUGAAAAAUUAUUUCAGGAAAAAAAAUUACUUUCUUAUUGGACAGCUAACGCUCUAUAGUUUUUAACUAAAAUCAACUCUCCACAUGACCAAAAUUACUUCAGCAAGAAUUAUUUCUAUAGAAGCUACGCCAAAUAGGCAGGCAUGCAUUUUCUAUUCUUGUUAUAUAAUGUUGCGCUAUCUCUCCUUACAGUGCACAUCACACGGUUUACUUUACAUUCACAUACGAAUUAGCAGACAUGUUAGGUGUGUCUGUACGUGUAAAAUUAGUUUACGAUAUCUAAAAAAAAAAACUCUUACCUUUGUUUGGUUGGGGUUAAGGGGUGGAAUAACCUCUUAACCCCCAUAUUAUUCCCAAACACUUUCAAAAAUGAAUGGGGUUAGCUAACUCCACCUCAAAUGGGCUAUUUCGGAUUAGCUAGCCACAACUAACCCCACAAAACCCCAACCAAAUACUAUUUUCUAUUCAUAAUAAUCCACUAUCCUUCUUAUCCCACCUACUCCAACCAAACACUAUUUUUCACUAUUCUGAACUAACUCCAACUCCCAACUAAACACAAAAAUACUCUAACCCCACUUUAAUCCUGAACUUAACCCUAUCCCUGAAAUAACUAGUUUUUUCUUAACCCCGAAUCAAACGGUAGCUUAACAUUUUCACAAUUAAUUAGUUUUACUAUAGACUAUGUUAUUGCAAAAAAUUGUAGUAAUUAAAAAAUAUUUUUUAAUUUUUUUUCCUUCAACAUUAUAUAUAUCUGUAAAAGAAACAUUUCAACAUCAAUUAAUGCAAGUAAUAAUAACAACAAUAAUAAUCUUACUCAUAAUAUGCCUACGGAUUUCUUUAAGAAAAAAAUAAAAACAAAAGAGAAAGAACAGUUGACCGUACAAAGGUAACUACAUUAUUGUAGUGUUUGCACAGUGCAUUGCAACUACAAAAUUAAAUUCAUUUAACACUUAAUAAAUGCACUUUAAUUUCCACAACGCAUCCAUCAAACAAAUCCAAGUUUGGCACGUAAGCUCCCACCCUGUCGUAUCCAUAAUCUCUACAACGGCGGAAAUUAUUGUCUAGACCCGGUCCACCAUUUUAACUCCCGAUGGGUGUUAGAAGCUGCUCGAUCUUGCUGUAGAAUGCAGUGCUGUUUGAUUAAACAUUAUCAUCGCAACGCCUUUGAGACUAAUUUGUGUAUAUAUAUAGCUUCUACGCUAAGAUCGAAUCAUACCCUAAAUGUUUUUUUUUUUAGAAAAGCAGACGAGUCGUGUCAUGCUCCAUUUUGGAUUGCAGACAAAAUGCAUUAUUAUGAACACGUUACGUACGUAGAUCGCAUUGGUUUGAAUAAGAUAUGAUUUCUGUGAUCCCACUGAAAAGUAAAGAAAUGUAUCUUUACCUAUUUCGGCGUCAACAACUUUCGACCUUCGACCCACGACCGCUUGGCCAUGGCAGAGGCGGUAUCUGCAGCCGGAAGUGUGCGUGGACCGGGUGCAGGCAAUAAUUGAAACUGUUGUGACAGCAAAUUAAUAAAUGGGACCAAAGCACCGUGUAGGCCCAACAACAAAUUAUGUAAAAGCAGACCCAGCUCUAGGGUCUAGACAACAGCAAGGUACCAUGCAAUUUAAUAUAUAAUAUUAGUUAGUACAAAGAUUGGUUCCCCCCAACUUGUUUUCUGCUUCCAUGGUACCCAAUCUAUCUUGUCCCUUUCCUACAGUUCUUCUACAUUGUUGCUGGCACAACUAGUCACUUUUUAAUUUUAUAUAUAUAUAUAUAUAUAUAUAUAUAUAUAUAUAUAUAGAGUUGGAUUAGGCUACUAUUAGUAACAAAAUUCUAUUAUUGCUACCAAUUUUUUAACCUUUGGAUCAACUCUUUUUAUUAUUUCUAACCAUUAGAUUAAAUGCUAUAACCGAGUGGGGACCACUCAACCCUAGGGGAUCACUCAACUGUAACCGAUUAAUAUCAUCCUGACCCUACAAUUUUUCAUCCAAGGGUUAAAAACUUGAUAGCAAAAAGAGCGUUUUACUAUUAAUAGUAUUUCAGCCUAAUUAUAUAUAUAUAUAUAUAUAUAUAUAUAUGCCAUGGCUACUAUACUAUUAUUAGUAUUGGAACCAUCGUACUCAUAAGUUGUUUUCGAUGAUGGAGCUUCCGGAUCGACGAUUCACUCCAUUAAAUAUGAUCUAGAGUAUUUGAAACUUCUAGAAAAUAAAUUUCGUAAAUUUUUGAAAUCAUAAUAAAGUCCAUCAAGUGGGCAUAAAAUGAACGAUCAAAAUCGAACGACAUCCUAAAAAAGUAUGAUCGGAUCCUUCAAUUCAAGAUCAGAGUUAUUGAUCUUUAUCUAUGUAGUGAAUAGAAUUUUCUAUCAAAAAAUCAACAAAUUCCGAUUCUUUUACACCGUUAAACUAGAAAGUAUCCCAUACCGGCCGUUAAAAAUUAUCAAAUUUGUGACCUCUUGAUCGUAAGGUAAAUGAUGUUGAAAAAUUAUAAAAUUUGAUUUCUAGAAGCUUUAAAUACUGUAAAUAAUGUUUAACGGUGUGGAUCGUCGAUUCGGAAGCUCUAUCAUCGAAAACAACUUAUGAGUACGAGGGCGAUCGUACUCAUAAUAGUAUAGUAGCCGGACCCUCUAUAUAUAUAUAUAUAUAUAUAUAUAUAUAUGCAUAGAGAGAGAUUUGAGCUCUCGUACUUUUAAAAUUAAGCACAAGAAUAAAUGUGUUUUUAAUUUUUUAGCUGUUGGAUUGGCUCAAGAUCCGUACAGUAUUAAUAAAGAGAACUUAAUAGGACAUACCGGUAAUAGUUCUGUAUGAAUUUCGAGACUAUGACGGCUAACAAUUUCUUUUUGGCUCUUAAAUCAACCCCUUUAAUCAUUUCUAACCUUUGGAUUAAUACUAUUACCCUGUGGUGACCACUCAAUAGUAGGGAUACUACUCAACUUUAGUGGGGACCGCAAUUAUCCCAACCGUAUAAUUCUUGAUCUAAUGGUCAAAAAGUCGGAAGCAUCAAAUUCUCUUUACUUUCGACAGCACAGUAGCUCUGCAUGCACGCACUCCAUUCCUAAUUGGCACAGCUACUGCUUUUGUUUUUAGCAAUAAUCAUAUCAAUUAAAGUGUUUGACAAAUAAAAAAUUUUAAUUUCUGUAUUUUAGGAGGGACGGGAAAGGAGAUUUUGAUUCCCAAAUGUAAAGCCUUAUCAUUAUCUAUUUUUCUUUCUUUUUUUUUUUCUAAUACAAAUUUUGUGUAAUUAGAUAUGUUGGUGAAUGGACUUUUAUAUUUUUGGCACAUUUGAUUAAAAAUAAAAAUAAAUCUAAAAUAUAGUGUAAAGAUUGAUAAAAUAUAAUAAUACAAUGCUGUCUUAAAAAAUAGUUUAAUAUAGUAAUAAAAAUAAAUAUUAAAGUACAAUAUGGCGGAGUGUAAUUAAGUCUUUAAAAUCAGGUAACUUGCAAGUUUGGUCCUCAAACUAUGAGGCAGGUAAUACUUUGGUCUUCAAACUUUAAUUUACUAUAAUUUUUGGCUCAAAGUUUCAGAAUUAUUGCAAUUGAGAAUUAUAACCGAAUUUAUAUGAUUAAACACUGAUAUAAAAGUUUUAUGAUUGAUGAUACACUAAUAAUUAAAAUAAAGUUGUGAAAUGUAAUUAAAAUAAUUUUAAAAUAUAAAUAAAAAAUUAUAAUAAACUAAAAUUUAAGAACUAAAUUGUCAUCGGGCUUGUAGGUUGGGAACCAAAUGUGCAGUUUAUUUGUGGGAUAACUAUUUAUAUACCUCUCAAAACUUCAGAAAUAUCUCAUUUACUCUUUUUUUUUUUUUCUUUCCAAAUAUACUCCUUAUAUGUUCUUCCAUUAUUCAAAAAUACCUUACAAUUACCACUUAUUAAGUUAAUAUGGGUUAAAUAACUGCCAGAAUUUUUAAAAAAAUUUAAAUAUCUCAUUUUUCAUUAAUUUAAUUAAUGGUAAGAAAUAUUGUUGAUGAUAGAUUUGAAAAGAUAAAAUAUCAAAAUACUUCUUGUGCUCCUAAUUUAAAAGACAAAUAAAAAAAAGUCGGCGAUAGUAGACGGGUAUAUUUAAAAGGAUAAAAUAAUAAUUUUAUAGAAAUAAUAGUUCUUACUAAUAAUUCAUUAACAAAAUUUAACUCUAGAAGAGUACAUUUAAAAUAGGUUGAAAAAUAAUUUUUUUUUUUUUAAUAUUAGUCUUGUAAAAAAGAAAAUUAGAAAGUGAAAAAUUUUUGAGUGAUAUAUAAUUAACUUUUCAAUGAUAAAUAUGCAAAAACUCGGCUCUGUCCCCGAGGCGAAGGAGCACAUCCCGGAAUCUCCUCGCUCUCGCCCCAGUAAAGUCCGAAGCAGAACUGCAGAAGCAGAGUCCACAAAACAACAAAAGAAAGAGAGAGAGAGAGAGAGAGAGAGAGAGAGAGAAAAAAGGAGAGAGAAAAAAAAAAGAAAGGGCAAAAAAAAGAGCCCGGAAAAGAAAAAGUCGUUUGGCAGAACGGCUCUACGUCUUGUCAUCUGAUUUCUCAUUCAGUAAACAGGACAGACCAAUCGCUUUUGUUAAAAAAAUAUGUGUACAUGUGUUAGCAUAGCAUGUAAGUCCCACCACCUUGAAAAAGUAAAAAAAAAAAAAAACUUUAAAUACUAUUUCUGUAAUUAGUACAUUUUUAUUUUAAUAUUUUAUAGUUUAAAUAGUUUAUUUUAGUGCUGUAUAAUUUCUUUUUUUAUUAUUAUUUUUUUUAUUUAUUUUUGACCAAUUUGCAUAAAAAAUUAUUAGUUUUGAGAUUUUGCAAAAGUAGGCUAUAUUUUUUAGAUUUUGUAGAUUCAGUCCGAAUUUUUAGAAAACUGACCAAAAUAUUUUUAUUCUUUUUUUUUCUCUCUUAUUCUUUCUUUUUUUUUUUUUUUCUAUCAUUCAUUUUUUUUUCUUUCUCUCCGAAGAGGCAAUGGAGCGAGGAGACCUGCUCGCCUCUUAUCCCAUGCACCUCACCCUCGCCCUCGCCCUCAGCCAUGCACCCUGCUCUCCGCCUCCUCGUCCCAACCAAAGUCGAGCCGCAAUCGUUGACCCUCGUUUUUUUUUUUUUUUUUUCUCUACGACCCUCCUCCACUGUUUUUUCGAUUUUUUACAACAGUAAAGAGAACAACGUCACGUCCUUUUUCUCUUCUUUUUUUUUCUCAUUCUUUUGUUCUCUUCGACCCACAAUCCACCGCCUCCGUGACCCUCCAUGACGUUAACGAGGACAACGCUGUAUCCUUUUUCUACGCCUUCGCAAUCGGCAUCGUGCCUGCGCCGGCGCCGGCACCGACGCCGGUGCCGGAGAAGGAUAACUCGAAGCGAGUGCAGAUGAGAGCGGAGCCGAGAAAAAAAGAUACAGAAAAUAAAAAAAUAAAAUAAAAUUAAAAAUUCUACAAGAAAAUUGAAGAAUUAGAAAGAAAAAAAGAAGAUGACGAAGUUGCACUAUUUCAGAAAAACGUUGUACUAUUUUAGAGGAAGCUUACACUCUUUAAGAGAAAAAUUAUAUUUUUUUGAAUGAAAGUUACACUUUUUGAACGAAAAUUUUACUUUUUGAACGAAAGUUGCACUUUUGGAAAAAAAAAAUUACACUGUUCUCCUAUUCCUCCUUUUUCUUCUCCUUCCUAUUCGUUUUUGUAUGUUUCUUCUCCGCCCGUCUGUUCUUCACUCUCCACCUCCGUUGGCAAAUCUUUCGCCCAUCUCUCUUCGGCCCUCUUUUCUUUUCCUCUCCGGCGAUGCAGGAAGGUUAGAGAGAAAAAAAAGAGGGUUGCGGCACAGCUUUGGCGGGGCUGGAGGCGAAGAGGGCGGGGCGGCGCAACCUCGGUGAGGGUAGAGGAUUUGCCGCUUGCAAGUUUAACGGUAUAGAAGAAUUCAAAUCAGAUGAAAUUUUGAUAGAAAAUUGUAUACUAUUUACAACAAGAUCAAUAUGUUAGAUCAAAAAUUUUAAUGCUAUAUCACAACAUUUUGUGAGAUUUUUAUUUUCAGCCGUUGAUUUUGAACCCUUUCGAUCGCUAGGAAAAUGAUAUCGAAAAAUCACAAAAAUUAUUUUCUAGACAGUUCAAAUACGCUAGAUCAAGUCUAACGGAACCGAUCGUCGAUUCGGACGCUCCAUCAUCGAAAACGGCUUAGGAGCACGGAGGCCAGCACACAAGGCNUCUCUCUCUCUCUAUAUAUAUAUAUAUAUAUAUAUAUAUAUAUAUAUAUAAAAUUGAGCUCCUAUGCUUUUAAAAGUACUAAGUUAUUGAUGGUUGUAGAUUUUUGACCGUUAGAUUAAGAGAUGUACGGUUAGGAUGAUGUUGGCCCCCUAAGGUUGAACGAAUGGUUGGUUGAAUCGUAUAAUCUAACAGGUGAAAAUGAUCAAAGGCAUAAAUCUAAUGGUAAAAAAUUUACAAGCACCAAGUGAUUGGUGCUUUUGCAAACACCAUAACCAGAUUAUACACACACACACACAUACACACAUAUAUAUAUAUAGAGAGAGAGAAAGAGAGAGAGAGAGAGAGAGAGAGAGAGAGAGAGACUACUAUUCUUUUGGAAGCAUGGAGUCUUCCGUGCUUUCAGGUCAUUUUCGAUGUUGCGACUUUCGAAUCGUUGAUCGGCUCCGUUAAACUUUAUCUAGAGUAUUUGAAGUACCAAGAAAAUAAAUUUUGCAAUUUUUCGAUAUCAUUUGCCUAGUGAACUGAUCGAGGGGCUCAAAAUUAACGGCCGAAAAUAAAAAUCUUACAAAACGUGAUAAUAUAACAUUAAAAUUUUAGAUCAAAGAUAUUGAUCUUGUUUUAUAUAGUAUAAAAAAUUUUCUAUCAAAAUUUCGCUUGAUUUGGAUAUUUCUACACCGUUAAACUUGCAAACUCCUCACCACGGCCAUUAAAAUUAUUGAUUUUGAGUCCCUUCAAUCACUAGGCAAAUGAUAUCGAAAAAUCAUAAAAUUUAUUUUCUAAGUACUUCAAAUACUCUACAUCAAGUUUAACGAAGCCGAUCGACGAUUCGAAAGUCGCAACAUCGAAAACGACUUGGAAGCACGGAAGGCUCCGUUCUUUCAGAAGCAUAGUAGCCUCUCUCUCUCUCUCUCUCUCUCUCUCUCUCUCUCUCUCUCUCUCUCUCUCUAUAUAUAUAUAUAUAUAUAUAUAUAUAUAUAAUGAGGCUACUAUACUAUCUAUAGUACAGAAGCUUCAGUACUAUAGUCUCGUUUUAGAUCUUAAGGUAUUCAAAUCAAUGAUCCAAACGUCAAAUAUGAUUUAGAAUAUAUAAAAUUCUUAGAAAUAAUUUUUUUUCAACGUUGUUUAGUAAGUAAAUCUUGUCAAAAUGAAUAGUAAGAAUUGAACAAUUUUUAAAAUUUGAGUUUAAUUUUUAAAAUUUGAGUUUAAGACUUUUGAAUUCAAGAUUAAGGAUGCUGACCUUGAUUUAGAUAGUUUAAAGUAUUUUCUAUCAAAAUUUAAAUAAAUUUAGAUUAUUUUAUACCAUUAAACUACAAACUUGUCAUAAUAAUCAUUGAAAAUUGACAAAUUUGAAAUAGUUUGAUCAUAAAGUAAUUAUGUCGAAAAAAUAUAAAAUUUUAUUUCUAAAAAUUUCAAAUACCUUAGACAGUUUUAACGGUAUGAAUCGUUGAUAUGAAUAUUCUAAAAUCGAAAGUGAGACUAUAGUUACAUAGUGCAGUACUAUUAGAUGUAUAUGAGUCUCUCUCUCUCUCUCUCUCUCUCUCCUCUCUCUCUCUCUCUCUCUCUCUCUCUCUCUUGCUAUAUAUAUAAUAUAUAUAUAUUAAUAUAUAUAUAUAUAUAGUUCGGCUGGGAUACUAUCGAUAGUACCAAACAACUUGGGCUACCAAGUUUUCCGCCGUUAGAUUUAAUUCUUUUACUAUUUCGAAUCUCCCGUUAUUAUAAUAUAGAUUUGAGCUAGAAUACAUUGAUAGCAAAUGGGUUCCGUUGCCACCCAUUUAUUUUGAUGAUGGAGCCUACAAAUCGACGAUCAGCACCGUUGAACAUGAUUUAUACACUUGGAAGUGUUAGAAAUCAAAUUUCAUUACACUUUCGAUAUUGUUCUCUUAUUCAUCGAGUGGAUAAAAAAAUGAACGGUGAAAAUGAAUAUUCUUUAAAAAAUGAUGAUAGGAGUUUUGUAAUCAAGAUCAAGAGUAUAGAUCUUAUUGUAAUAUAGUUUAAAGAAUUUUCUAACAAAAAUUCAAUUGAUUUGGAUAUCAUUAUGCCGUUAAACGAGAAAACGCCUCAUAUCGACCAUUAAAAUUACAAAGUUUGAAACCUUUGAUCAUUAGGCAAAUGAUGUUGAAAAAAUUUGAAAUUUGAUUUCUAAACACUUCAAGUGAUAUAGAUCAUGUUCAACGGUAAAUCCAAUGGCUAAAAAUCUGAAGCACCAAUAACUUCGGUACUUUUAAAAGCAUAUGAGCUCAAUUAUAUUUAUAUAUAUAUAUAUAUAUAUAUAUAUAUAUAUAUAUAGUUGAGCUAUGAUACUUUUACAAGUAUCACCAUCAUGGUGCUAAAAUUGAGUUUUAUAAGCCAUUGAUCUACUUUUUGAUUAUUAAUAGCCCUUGGAUAACACUAUUCCACCUACCACCACUACCACCAUCAUCUCAACCUCACAUCUUCUCCAUCAAGGGCUAAAACACACAAAUAUCACUCCCAUGAUACUUUUACAACAUUUCAGCCCUACUCUAUAUAUCUAUAUAAUUAUAAUAUAAUAUAUAUAGGCUGGGGUACUACUAUACUCAUAUGAGUAUAGAGCCCUUUGUGCCUCAUAAGUUUUCAACCAUUCGGAUGAAAAAAUGUACGGUUAGGAUGAGAGUGGUUACGCUUAGUUGUAUAGUGGCCCCUAGGGUUGAGUGUGGGUUGUUGAAUAUAUAAUCUAACGGUUAAAAUGAUUAAAAGGUAGAUCUAACUCUAAAAACUUAUGAGACAAGAGCGCUAUACAUAAGAGUAUAUAGCCGGAUAUAUAUAUAUAUAUAUAUAUAUAUAUUAUAUAUAUAUAUAUAUAUAUAUAUAUAUAUAUAUAAUAUAUAUAUUAUAUAUUAUAGUGAGGCUACUAUGCUAUCGAAGCACGGAGCCUUCCGUGCUUCCAGCUCGUUUUCGAUGUUGCGACUUUCGAAUCAUCGAUCGCUCCAGUUAAACUUGAUCUAGAGUAUUUGAAGUACUAGAAAAUAAAAUUUUAUGAUUUUUACGAUAUCAUUUGGCUAGUAACGAAAUGCGCUCAAAAUCAACGGCUGAAAAUAAAAAUCUUACAAAAUGUAAUAAUAUGACAUUAAAAUUUUAAAUCAAAGAUAUUGAUCUUGUUUUAUAUAGUAUAAAAAAUUUUCUAUCAAAAUUUCACGUGAUUCAGAUAUUUCUACACCGUUAAACUUGCAAACGGCUCACUACGGCCAUUGAAAUUUGUUGAUUUUGAGCCCAUUCGAUCACUAGGCAAAUGAUAUCGAAAAAUAAUAAAAUUUAUUUUCUAGGUACUCCAAAUACUCUAGAUCAAGUUUAACGGAGCCGAUCGACGAUUCGAAAGUUGCAACAUCGAAAACGAGCUGGAAGCACGGAAGGCUCCGUGCUUUCGAUAGCAUAAUAGCCUCACUCUAUAUAUAUAUAGUAAUGCUACUAUACUCAAGUACAAAUAUAUAUAGUAGGACUGCUGUGACGGCCCAACUUCCUACAAAAGUCAACAGUAUGAGAGUCUUGCACUUUCGGUUGUAUAACCCUGACUCAACCGAAACUCAUCUCAUACUUUUGGCUGGUAAUUGGCUCUGAUACCAACUGCCACGCCCCAACUUCCUAUGGGGGUCAUCCAUCGUAGGAUUACUUCCGUCCUAGCACGCUUAAAUCUUUUAACCUCUUGGACCUACCCACUACCGAAAAUAUUUAAGACGGGUUAAGAGUUUUAGCCAUAUUAUAUUUUAUAUAUAGGACUAUCUCUGGAGUCUCACGACUACCGUCCUCUUAUAAGUAUGGAAGCUUCCAAAUUGACGAUUUAUAUUGUUAGAUAUGAUUUAAUUUAUUUGAAACUUUUAUAAACUAAAUUUUAUAAUUGUUUAACAAUACUAUCCAUACACCAAAAAAAAGAGUUGAUAUCUUAUAUCGACGGAUGGAGUGUAAAGCAUACAUUCCAAAUAAGGUGUAUAGACAGCAUUUUUCUUUUUUUGGAAAAAAAAAGUAUAGAGACCCUAGGCUUUAGCUUUUUCAUAAAUAAACACUUGAACUUUCAAUUUUGAUAAUUAUAUCUCUUAAACUUUAUCAGAUAAUUCAAUAGACCACUCUCCUCUAGCGAACUUACUAAUUACACAAUUAUUUUGAUCGAAUGUCGUAUACAUAAUUUUAGAAGACUUCAAAGUAUACAGAAAACUAUUUUUCCGGUUCCAAUUUAGAUAACUAAGCAUGACGAUCGAAAAAUAGUUUGAACUAAACUUCAAAUUUUUAUCAUUUUUUAUUUAUUUUAGAAUACAAAAAUAUUUUUUUAUAUAUUUUCAAGCUUUAUAAAAUUAUAUGUAAUACGAAGGUCUGGCUAUUGUGCUUUUAAAAGACCAGCACUUUGGUGUUUGUAAUUUUUCGCCGCUACAUCUAUCACUUUAACUAUUUUCAUCCGUUAAAUUAUACUAUCCAACCCACCACCUACUCAAUUUUAAAGAACCACUAUUAUUCUAACCGCACAUUUCUUAAUCCAAGAGCCAAAAAUCUAUAAGCACCAAUAACUUGCUAUUUUUAAAAGCAUAGACGCUCGCUCAAUUUAAGCAAUACGUACAAACAAAACAGCUGUGUAAUUAAUAACAACAAGUGAAUAGAAAAAGUUAUUGAAAUAUUUGAUAAAGUUUGAGAAAUUUAAUCGUCAAAAUUAACUGUUCAGACGCGUGUUUACAAAAAAACAAAAGUUUAGGAAAUCUUUUGUAAUUUUUCUUUUUUUAAAAAAACUAAAAUGAGAAAGAGAGAGAGAGAGAGAGAGAGAGAGAGAGAGAGAGAGGGCGCGCGCUCCUCCCUCGUCGGGUUCUGCUGCUGCAGCAGCAUCAGCUCUGCUGCAGCGAGCAGCAGAAGCAGCAGCAGCAGCAGCAGCAGUUGCAGUAGCUGCUGCGCGCUCUGAUCCACCGAUAAAAGCGAGGAGAAAGUGAUCUCGGACGUAACACUACACCACACCUUUAUAUACCACCCCAAUUACCCAUCUCUCUCUCUCUCUCUCUCUCUCUCUCUCUCUCUCUCUAUAUAUAUAUCUUUUUGUGUGUGUGUGUGUGUGUGUUCUUGCUGAGUAUAAAACAGGCUGCUGCAGCAGCAGCAGCAGCAGGAACAGUAUUAGUAAGGAUAAAGAAAAAUUGGGUAAAUUGCAGUAUUAGUACAUAAAUUUAACCGUGUUUCAUUUCAGUUCAUACACGUCUAAUUUGGCACUCGACAUUUAAGGCAGCUUUUGGUUCGGGAACACAGGGGAGAAUAAGCCCUUGUUUUUUAGCUUUGUUUCCAAAUGUAAAUUUUUGUACCCCAUAAUAAUAGUUUUUAGAUUUCUGGAAUAAACUAGUAUAAUUAAUCCGAUAUAAGCCUGGAACUACUGUCACAUUUUUCUAAUAUAAUCCGGUAAUUAUGGUAUUAAAUCAUUAAUUAAUCUAAUUAAUAUAUUUAAAUCAUUAUCCGUUGCUUAAAUGAUAAAGUAAUUAAUUAAUUUAUUAGUAAAAGUUCGACGAUUAAAAUAAAAUAUUGAUCAAGUUCAUAUUUAUACUUAAACUUAUAUCUAUUUCUGAAAUAAACAGUUUUUACUUAUACCUGAACCAAACGUAGCCUUACGUAUUCGACAACAUUUUAUUUUAAUCGUCGAACUUUUACUAAUAUUUUAUUUUAGUCGUUAUUUUGGAGUAAAAAUUGUUGCUUACAAGUAACUUGUCUUUAUAUACUUACACAACAAAUAUAUCGGUUAUUCGUCUAAUUUCAUAUUUUGAAUUCAACAUUUAAACUCUAAUGGAGAAAAGAUUGUAAUUUUAUAAGGUGGAACUGUCCCUGUAACAGCAAAUGUGUAUUAGGACUAAAAUGAAAUUCUUUUUAAGAGUUUAAAGAUCUCCAACACAGAACUUGAAACUUCCAACACCAAACUAAUACUAAAUCCAAAGUUCAUAAACUAGUGGUGCCAUUUAUUCAAUUAAAAUAUAAAAUGCGAUAAAGGGCUGAUCAAUGCAUAGUUCGUAAAAUAAACAACAUUACUCAGUGCUGGCAAUAUUUUGCUCCCUAACAAAAAAAAAAAAAAAUGAAGAGGACAUAACUUAUCCAAACUAUCGGGGAUUUUGAAUCAGCUACAUGAUCUUUCAAAAUUUUAAUUUUAGUGUCCAAUCUUUCAAUUUAUUUAAUUUGAGUCACGCAACGGCACUUUAUUUUUAAAAUUUGAGUUAAUUGCUUACUUAAUUAAAUUUAUAGUCGCAAGAAUUGCAUUAAAUAUACUAAUUAAAUAUGUAAAGAUAAAAAAUAUAUUUAAUGAUUCAAAUUAAACAAAUUAAAAGAUGGAUAGUAAAAUCAAAAUUUUAAAAGAUCGAAUAGUCAAUUCAAAAAUGGUUGAUAGUUCAGAUAAGUUCUGUAUAUAAAUUUUUUAUCUAAAAAUAUUUACAAGAACUAGAGUAAAAUUUUUACAGAAGUUUUAAAAAUUUUUGUUUAUCCAAUUUAAAAAUUCUGAGAACCAAGGUGAAAUUUACCAAAUAGGAUAGGAGCACUUGUCCUAUCAAGUUGUUCUUGAUGAUCGAGAUUCCGAAUCGAUGAUCGGAGCCGUUGAAGUUAAUCUAGAGCAUUUGAAAUAUCUAGAAACUAAAUUUCAUAAAUUUUGAUAAUGGUUUACAUGGUGAUCAAAGUGUCGUAAAAUCGACAAUUUUUGACGGCCUAUAUGAGCCGUUUGCUUGUUUAACGGUGUAGAGCAAUCCAAAUUGCUUGAAUUUUUGAUAGAAAAUUCUUUAUACUAUUUAGAUAAUGUUUGAUAACUCUGAUUACGAACUAAGAAAGUCUAACCUCUAUUUUAAGAAGGUUAUUCAUUUAUGACCGUUCAUUUUUCAACUCUUAAGAUGAACUUGAUAAUGAUUUUUAAAUAUUACAACGCUCACUACGGCCAUUGAAAUUUGUUGAUUUUGAGCCCAUUCGAUCACUAGGCAAAUGAUAUCGAAAAAUAAUAAAAUUUAUUUUCUAGGUACUCCAAAUACUCUAGAUCAAGUUUAACGAGCCGAUCGACGAUUCGAAGUAUUGCAACAUCGAAACGAGCUGGAAGCCACGGAAGCUCCGUGCUUUCGAUAGCAUAUAGCCUCACUUCUAUAUAUAUAUAGUAAUGCUACUAUACUCAAGUACAAAUAUUAUAUAGUUAGGGACUGUGUGACGGCCCAACUUCGCUACCAAAACUCAACAGUAUGAGGUCUUUGCACUUUCGGUUGUAUAACCCUGACUCAACCGAACUCAUCUCAUACUUUUGGCUGGGUAAUUGGCUCUGAUACCAACUGCCACGCCCCAACUUCCUAUGGGGGUCAUCCAUCGUAGGAUUACUUCCGUCCUGCACGCUUAAAUCUUUUACCUCGUUGACCUACCCACUACCGAAAAAUAUUUAAGACGGGUCUAAGAGUUUUAGCCAUAUUAUAUUUUAUAUAUAGCACUAUCUCUGCGGUCUCACGACUACCGUCCUCUUAUUAAGUAUUGGAAGCUUCAAAUUGACGAUUUAUAUUUUAGAUAUGAUUUAAUUUAUUUGAAACUUUUAUAAACUAAAUUUUAUAAUUGUUUAACAAUACUAUCCACACAAAAAAAGAGUUGAUAUCUUAUAUCGACGGAUGGAGUGUAAACAUACAUUCCAAAUAAGGUGUAUAGACAGAUUUUCUUUUUUGGAAAAAAAGUAUAGAGACCUAGGCUUUAGCUUUUUCAUAAAUAACACUUGAACUUUCAAUUUUGAUAAUUAUAUCUCUUAAAUUUAUCAAUAAUUCAAUAGACCACUCUCCCUCUAGCGAACUUACUAAUUACACAAUUAUUUUGAAUCGAAUGUCGUAUACAUAAUUUUAGAAGACUUCAAAGUAUACAGAAACUAUUUUCCGGUUCCAAUUUAGAUAAACUAAGCAUGACGAUCGAAAAAUAGUUUGAACUAAACUUCAAAUUUUUUAUCAUUUUUUAUUUAUUUUAGAAUACAAAAUAAUUUUUAUAAUUUUCAAGCUUUUUAAAAUUAUAUGAAUACGAAGGUCUGGCUUAUUGUGCUUUUAAAAGACCAGCACUUUGGUGUUUGUAAUUUUUCGCCUUGCAAGUUUAACGGUGUAGAAAUAUCCAAAUCACGUGAAAUUUUGAUAGAAAAUUCUUUAUGCUAUAUAAAACAAGUCAAUAUCUUUGAUCUAAAAUUUUAAUGUCAUAUUAUCACGUUUUGUAAGAUUUUUAUUUUCAGCCGUUGAUUUUGAGCUCCUUCGUUCAUUAGGCAAAUAAUAUCGAAAAAUCGCAUAAUUUAUUUUUUUGGUACUUCAAAUAUUUUAGAUCAAGUUUAAUGGAGUCGAUCGACAAUUCGAAAGUCGCAAUAUGAAAAACGACCUGGAAGUACNGCCGCGACUUUUUUUUUUUGCUUUUUUCUUUUCUUUUCUUCUCCGACUCUUCUCCACCGUCUCCGACGACGACGCCUCUCUCGUCCUUCCCCGCCAUUCUUAUCUCUCUCUCCCUGAUUCUCUACCGCCUCCGACGAUGAUGCAUCUUCGUCGGCGCCGACGUCGACACCGUGGAGGUCACUGCAGCGCUACAGCCUCGGAGCAGGGGUCCUUAGCGGCGUCGUCGCAGGCACCGUGGCUGUUGGCAGAGAGGGUGACAAAAAAAAAUUAUAGAAAAAACAGAAAAAAAAAUAAAGUUAAAAAAUUAUAUAAAAAGAAAGAUGAAGAUGAAAUUGCAUCGUUAAUUACAAAAAAAUUAUAAAUUACACUACUUAAGAUAUAAACUGCUGCUUUAAGAUAAAAAUUAUACUCUUUGAACGAAAAUUACACAUUUUGGGUAAUAUUUACACUGUUUCUAUUCUUAUUGCACUUUUUCAGAUGUAAACUGUAUCCAUUAAAAUGAAAAUUAUACUCUUUAAAUGAAAGUUGCACUGUUUCCUCUUGUUGCACCAUUUCUUCUCUUGUUACACUGUUUCUCCUCUCGUUUCUCCUCUUAUUGCACUAUUUCUGUGUAAACAAUGGGAGAAAUAAUGCUACAAGAGAAGAAACAGUACAAUAAGAGGAGAAAUUGCACCAUUUUAAGAGAUAUUUAUACUGUUUCUCCUCUUGUUGCACUGUUUCUCCUCUUGUUGCACCAUUUCUGUGUAAACAAGAGGAGAAAUAGUGCAACAAGAGGAGAAACAAUACAACAAGAGAAGAAACUGCACUGUUUUAAGAGAUAUAUAUACUGUUUCUCAUUUUGUUGCACCAUUUCUGUGUAAACAAAAGGAGAAAUAGUGCAAUAAGAGGAGAAACCGCACUGUUUUAAGAGAUAUAUAUACUGCUUCUUCUCUUGUUGCACUGUUUCUUCUCUUAUUGCACCAUUUCUGUGUAAAUAAUAGGAGAAAUAGUGCAACAAGAGGAGAAACAAUGCAAUCAGAGGAGAAACUGCACCCUUUUAAGAGAUAUUUAUACUGUUUCUCCUCUUGUUAUACUAUUUCUCCUCUUGUUGUACCAUUUCUGUGUAAACAAGAGGAGAAAUAGUGCAACAAGAGAAAAAACAGUGCAACAAGAGGAGAAACAGUAUAAAUAUCACUUAAAAGGAUGCAGUUUAAGAUAAAAAAUAGUAUAAUAAGAGGAAAACAGUGCAACUUUCGUUUAAAGAGUAUAAUUUUUAUCUUAAUGAUUACAGUUUACAUCUGAAAGAGUGCAAUAAGAAUAGAAACAGUGUAAACAUCUCNNNNNNNNNNNNNNNNNNNNNNNNNNNNNNNNNNNNNNNNNNNNNNNNNNNNNNNNNNNNNNNNNNNNNNNNNNNNNNNNNNNNNNNNNNNNNNNNNNNNNNNNNNNNNNNNNNNNNNNNNNNNNNNNNNNNNNNNNNNNNNNNNNNNNNNNNNNNNNNNNNNNNNNNNNNNNNNNNNNNNNNNNNNNNNNNNNNNNNNNNNNNNNNNNNNNNNNNNNNNNNNNNNNNNNNNNNNNNNNNNNNNNNNNNNNNNNNNNNNNNNNNNNNNNNNNNNNNNNNNNNNNNNNNNNNNNNNNNNNNNNNNNNNNNNNNNNNNNNNNNNNNNNNNNNNNNNNNNNNNNNNNNNNNNNNNNNNNNNNNNNNNNNNNNNNNNNNNNNNNNNNNNNNNNNNNNNNNNNNNNNNNNNNNNNNNNNNNNNNNNNNNNNNNNNNNNNNNNNNNNNNNNNNNNNNNNNNNNNNNNNNNNNNNNNNNNNNNNNNNNNNNNNNNNNNNNNNNNNNNNNNNNNNNNNNNNNNNNNNNNNNNNNNNNNNNNNNNNNNNNNNNNNNNNNNNNNNNNNNNNNNNNNNNNNNNNNNNNNNNNNNNNNNNNNNNNNNNNNNNNNNNNNNNNNNNNNNNNNNNNNNNNNNNNNNNNNNNNNNNNNNNNNNNNNNNNNNNNNNNNNNNNNNNNNNNNNNNNNNNNNNNNNNNNNNNNNNNNNNNNNNNNNNNNNNNNNNNNNNNNNNNNNNNNNNNNNNNNNNNNNNNNNNNNNNNNNNNNNNNNNNNNNNNNNNNNNNNNNNNNNNNNNNNNNNNNNNNNNNNNNNNNNNNNNNNNNNNNNNNNNNNNNNNNNNNNNNNNNNNNNNNNNNNNNNNNNNNNNNNNNNNNNNNNNNNNNNNNNNNNNNNNNNNNNNNNNNNNNNNNNNNNNNNNNNNNNNNNNNNNNNNNNNNNNNNNNNNNNNNNNNNNNNNNNNNNNNNNNNNNNNNNNNNNNNNNNNNNNNNNNNNNNNNNNNNNNNNNNNNNNNNNNNNNNNNNNNNNNNNNNNNNNNNNNNNNNNNNNNNNNNNNNNNNNNNNNNNNNNNNNNNNNNNNNNNNNNNNNNNNNNNNNNNNNNNNNNNNNNNNNNNNNNNNNNNNNNNNNNNNNNNNNNNNNNNNNNNNNNNNNNNNNNNNNNNNNNNNNNNNNNNNNNNNNNNNNNNNNNNNNNNNNNNNNNNNNNNNNNNNNNNNNNNNNNNNNNNNNNNNNNNNNNNNNNNNNNNNNNNNNNNNNNNNNNNNNNNNNNNNNNNNNNNNNNNNNNNNNNNNNNNNNNNNNNNNNNNNNNNNNNNNNNNNNNNNNNNNNNNNNNNNNNNNNNNNNNNNNNNNNUAUAUAUAUAUAUAUAUAUAUAUAUAUAUAGAAAGAGAGAGAGAGAAAAGGGGAACAGUAAUGGAGGUCGGGGGACUGCAUGUGGUACGGACAGGGGUCGCUUUGACCCGUCCCCCGCUUUUAGCAAAGCUGAGGUGUAGCGGACAACCUGUAGAGAGAGAAACCAUACCAAAUACAUACAAUACUGCAAGAUUUUAGAGUGAGAAAAAAGAAUAUAGGCCACACUCUUUGGCAUAAUAAUUUAGUAAUAUAGCAUAUAAUAAAAGUAUUAUUUUUAUAUAGAGUUAAGCUCCCAUAUUUUAAAAUAUAUUCGUAUUUGUAAUUUUUUUUAACUAUUUAAUCGCCUCAAAAUUUAUAUAAUAAUAAUAACAGUAUAUUUUAUUAAAUCUUUUUUACUAGUACUGCACUGCUGCAUGGAUAUUUAGACGAUUCAAUAGCUAAAAAAAUCACGAGCACAGAUAUUUCUGUUAUUUUAAAAGCGUAGAAGCUCAACUCAUUUUUAUAUUAUAGAAAUUUACAUUAUCAAAAAAUAUAUUUGUUUUCUUAAAUAAUGCUAUAUUUAUAAAUAAAUUUUAUAAUAAUUUAUAGAAUAGCGUACACGACGGUAUUUAAUUGGUAUGACUUACAAAAUUGUAUAGUUUAUAAAAUAUUAUGAGAUUUUAAUUGUAAGUAAAAUAAAUUUUUUUAUAUAUUAUGAAAUUGCGAUGAUAACCACCAUAUAAGAAGGGCAUAAAAUAUAAAGUCUAAUUUGACAACACAGUGACUAAAAAUACUAUUUUUAUACUACGAAAGAUCAAAAUAAUUGUAAAACUACUUACAAUUUUUACUCCCCUAAUAUUUUAAAAUUAUAAUUACAACAAUAAUUUUAUAGCGUCAAAAAAAAAAUUGAAAGCACUUUUAAAUUAUUAGAAUUAUAUGAAUAGAUUAUUACGAUUAUGAUUUGCUGAAAUUUUUAUGCGGUUGUCAGAAUUAUAUCUAUAAAAUAAAAGGAAACAGUAAAUAAUUUACUGUUUGUAUAUGAUGAGUAAGGCGGUAAAUAAUUCAUUCCUUUUAUAAAAAAAUUGAUAAAUAGUGAAUCGUUUACUGCUUUUAUAAAAUUUACCAAAAUUUUUUCAUACAAUUAUUUAUCUAAACAAAAAAUUUUGUAGAAUCAUUAAAAAAAAAGAAAAAAAAGGAGGUCCCCUUAAAAGCUAGGACCUAGAGAGAGAAGAGAGUAAGAGAGAGUGACUGAGAGAGAAGUUAUAAUCACUCUGUUCCUGCUCUGUUUUUGCUCUGUUUGUUUCCUGUGUCUCUCCCGUCUCUUCCGCUCUCUUUUUAGGUUUUUUUUUUUUUUUUUUUUUUUUUUUUUUUGGGGGGGGAGAUAUUUUUUCUUGGUGUAUAGAAUAAGUAGUAUUAGUAUCGUCGUGUUCAGUAACUCGGCCUCUGACGACCAUUACGACGAUGCGUCACUCCACUCACCACGUCUCCCCUCCCCCUACCACCUAUCACUAAAACCCUAAACCCUAACCUAGCUGCGACCCUAACCCCUUACUUUACUCUCUCCUCCCUCGUCCGCUUCGCGCAUUGGUGCCCUUGUUUGGGGCUUGCGGGAGCGCAAUGGGAUCGAUCUCAACCGGUGGAGGAGGAGGAGGAGGAGGAGGCGCCGGCGCCGGCGCGGCGCGGCGGGUCGGUGUGCCUCGAGCUGUGGCACGCGUGCGCGGGGCCGUGAUAUCGUUGCGAGGAGGGGAGCUUGGUCGUGUACUUGCCCCAGGGCACUCGAGCACGCCGGCGACGGCGGCGCCGCGCCGCGCGGGGCUCGUUCGUUACGGCGUGCCCCGCACGUCUUCUGCCGCGUCGUCGACGUGAAGCUCAUGUCGGUUUCCUUCGUGGUCAUCUCCCAUUUGAUUAGAGGGUUUCAACGUGGGUUUGUUCUCUCCACUUGCUCUUGAUUUUCUACGUUUUAUUUUUUUUUUUUUUUUUUUUUUUUUUUUUAAUUAGGCGGAGGCGUUGACGGAUGAGGUUUAUGCUCAGCUUUCGCUUGUCGCUGAAACUGAGGUAAGGGUUUCCUAUUUUCAGAUUUUUUUUCCCCUCUUUUUAUUGAAUUUUUGGGCCUAUUAGUUCACAAUGUGACUCAAAGAGUUGCAGUUUUGCUCUUUCUGAAGCUGCUGCAACUUUCAUUUUAAUGGAAUGGGAUUUUGGUAUGUUUCCAAGAUAGUUAGGAAUGAAAAUCUCCAGCUUGUUAAAAAGCAGUAAAAAUGUCGCAGAAAUAAGUUUGAUUGUGGAUUUCUCUUCUUUCUAAAUGAGCUCAAACCAAUCCCUUACUAAGCAAGCACAUUUUUGGUUCGCAUGAAUUUUCACCGAAGUGUUGUUUGAGUAGAGAUAUUCAGCGAAGCAUUACUAGGUAUUUCAUUAAAAAUUUCCUGAAACAGCUCCGAAGUAGAGCUUUUGUUUUCGGGGCCCAAAUUCACCAUGGCAGAAGCAAAUUUAAAUGGUUCUCAAAAACUCAUAAAAACAAACUUUUGUUAUAUAUGUGAUGAUACCCAUUGUCAUUCCAAAAAUGCCAGCGAUUUUAUUUAUUCCGAAAAGCACACUUUCAGCUUACCUAAUAGUUGGCUUUCGCUUCUCCAGUAAAGAAGUUGCUCAACAAGUUGCGCUCAAAGAGGUGCGAAAUGGCUUCGUUGUCAAUAUAUAUCUCACCAUUAUUUGUUUGCUCAGGAGGUGGAGCAACGCAUCCAUGAGGCUGGCGUUGAAGGUGACGGGGAAAUGGAGGACGAUGACACCGAGAAGAGGUCGUCGAUGCCCCAUAUGUUCUGCAAGACGCUCACUGCGUCAGACACGAGCACUCAUGGUGGAUUCUCCGUCCCUCGUCGAGCUGCUGAGGACUGCUUCCCUCCCCUGGUAAAUACCAUCACCUCGCUCUUUGUUCUAUUUUAACAUAUCUUGCAUGAGGUCUCUGUGACUUUCAUAUGCAGUCAUAGAAUUGUUGUUUUACUCUUGGUGCUUGCUUUUGAUUCUUUGGGAAAUGGAAUAGGAUUAUAAGCAGCAGAGGCCUUCUCAAGAGCUCGUUGCAAAAGAUUUACAUGGCACGGAGUGGAGGUUUCGCCAUAUCUAUAGAGGUACAGCGAUGGGAUUGAGGCCCUUUAAUGCAUCAAAAAUAGGACGUGGUCUCUUAAGAACCUUAUUGAUCUUUCUACAUUUAUUAUUCUUCCCUCUACUACUUGUUAAGAUUUCAUUUUUCGAAUAGGAAAAGAAGUUUCUUUUCUUAGUGUUUUACUCCGAAGUUUCUUAACUGUGUAGCUAGCUUACAUCUGUGGUUGGUGGAUUUAGAAACUUUGGGUGCUUUUUUUCCUUUGGAAAUCACAUGCGUGUAAUUCUGAUAGGGGGAACUUUGUUGCUCAAAAACUUGUCUACUUUACAGGUGUUUUGAGUGUUUACUCUGAUUAGAAUACUAAAUGGAAUGAACUUUAGCUCAUAAUUAAUAAUUUGCAAAUUUUGUUCUGUUGAGGAUGACCAAUGCGGCAACAUUGAGAAACGUUGAAGUUUGUUGAUGAAGAUGCAUACUUAGUUUACUUUCAAACAUCAGGUUUUUUUUUUUUGUCAUCCAUAUUUUUUCUCAAUGUUGUCCUCAUCUGUUUAAUUAGUAUUUGCUGAAACUAGUUACAUCUGCGAAUGUGAAGCAUAAAACAGCUUUCUAGCUUAACUUUUCACCUUUAUCGUUUUUUCUGUUGGCUUCUUGAGUUACAGGUCAACCACGUAGGCAUCUGUUAACUACAGGGUGGACUGCAUUCGUCAAUAAGAAGAAGCUGGUCUCAGGGGAUGCUGUGCUCUUUCUUCGGUAGGUAUUUUUGGAAUGCUGUUAUAUGUAAUAGUUUUAAUUUUUAAAGAACCUUCGCAAUUCAAGGUUUUCCAACUUCUGCAGAAGCCACAGUGGGGAGCUAAGAUUGGGCAUACGAAGAGCUGUCCAACUAAAAACUGGAGCACCUUUUCAAGCACUCCAUAACCAGAACUCGUGUAUCAGCACCCUGGCUACUGUCGCUAGUGCUGUGUCCAUGAAAAGUGUGUUCCACAUCUAUUACAAUCCAAGGUUUGUAAUUCUUUUAAUCUCAGUCAUGUUAAUUGGCUGAUUUGCUAUGUUUUUGUAUGUGCAUCUUCUUGCGUCAAAAAGCUUUUGGCCCAAAGCUUGAGGAUAGUCACUUUUGAUAGGGUAUUGUUCUUCUUCCUUAUGAUCACAAGGUUUAGCUCUUAUCAGAGAAUUAGACCUACCUGUUCUCAAGAGAAGUAUUAACUUCAACCCAACUACACAUUAUGUUGAUCAAGGAAAUUCAAAUAUCUUGUUUUACUUUUUCAAUGUAAAUUUGUUCCAUGCAAGAACUUCUAACAAACAGAAAAAUAGAGGAAACAUUCUUGUUGAGAUUUCAUGCUAAAAUGAAGUAUUACAGUGCCAACAGCUUUUUAUUGAAAGCUAAUAUUCUAAUUACGAUAUUUUGGGGAGUAGAUGGAAAGUUAAUUUUGUUUUGCUAAGGAGGAGAGAACUUGCUCUCCUGGAAAACUGCUUGUAACUUGUUAGAAAGUGUGAUAAAUUGAGGAACUGUGGAAAAGAUCACCAUCCAAUGAUCUUAAUUCUUCUGAACAGAGGUAAAAAUGGUGUAGAACUUUUCUCUGAAGCAUCCAGUUGUGUCAAGGAAGCAUGAAGCAGGGAAUUAUUUGGUAAACUUACUCUGAAGCUAGAGAAGGACGAGAGUUGUGAACAACAUAUCAGUUUAAGAAUUAACUGAUUUUACAUUAAGAAUAGCAUCAGAUGUCAGUUAAAGAAGAACAUCUUUUUAGAGCAAAGCAAUCACAAAAGGAUUAGUAUGUGAACUGCGUUCUGAAUAUCUGCCUUACUGCUUCCGCAUUAACCAAUUUUGAGAUUUUCAGGGCAAGCCCGUCUGAGUUCAUUGUACCUUAUUGGAAGUUUACGAAGAGCUUCAGCCAUCCAUUUGCUAUCGGAAUGAGGUUUAAGAUGCGAUACGAAAGUGAGGAUGCUGCAGAGAGAAGGUUUGCAGAAUUCAACUAGCAAAAAUUAUCUUUUCUAUAGUCGAAAAUUAAUAGUUGAUUUGUUCCUGUGCAGAUAUACAGGACUGAUAACUGGAAUCAGUGACGUUGACCCUAUAAGAUGGCCUGGAUCAAAAUGGAGAUGUUUACUGGUGCACGUUUGCACUUUGUCAUAUUAAUCUUUAUCAUCAUAUAGUGCACAUGUGAAGUUGGAUUAUCAUGUUUGAAUUUCGAAUAAGAUACAGCUGGGACAGCAGGGUCCUCUUUCUCUACCAGAUACUGUUGAUCAAUGGCUAUAUACCUUGAUGCUGAAAUUCCUCAUUCCGGGAUCAUUUGUUUUCAUCAGGAGAAAUUUAAAGCAUUGUGUACUUUUUGUACAUCAGAAUUUUGUAGAUACUUUUGCAUCAUUUUUGUGUCAACCCUAGUUAUAUGCAUUUACCCAAAAUGUUAUGCUAGAUUGCAUGAUCAUUGAUCAAAAAUUUCCUUCCUGACUAUAAUACUAGACAAUGAUAUCCAAGGAUUAAAGUGCUGUGGUACAAGAUUGUGCCGGAAACUUGCCAGUACGGUACGGCACGGUGCGUGCCGGACCAUGCCUAUGUGUGCCGAUCACAAAAAUAUGUGUGUCGACACGUAAUGGCACGAAAUAUUUAUUUUCUUUAGCAAUAAAGUAUGCCAAUUAUUUAUUAUGUAUUUUAUCAAAUUUUUUGAACUUUGUUGAGAAAAUUUUAUACUAAUUUCAAGAAUAGAGAGUUUUGAGUUGUACCAUCGGCAUGAGGGCUGUAUCGUGUCGAUAUCUUGCUGGCACGAUACGGCACGGUGGACACGGCCCGUGCCGAUGGGCACUUUAAUCCUUGAUGAUAUCUAUCUUGUUUACCAUGUCUAUUUGCCAAAUAUAAAAAAGAGAGAAACUAUAAUACGUGAACUAAUGAUGUUUUCUCUUAUCGGAGCUUCUGUUUGUUAACUAGGAUUUUACUAAUUGUGGAUCAGAGCAAAUAGUUAAAUCUGUAGCUCUUGUGGUGUUGCACCUGCUAUAUUUGUAUUUGUAUUUGUAUUUGUAUUUGUAGGUAAAUUUCAUCCUGCAGAAACUCAAUUGUUUGUUAAUGCUAGUUUUGUGAUUUUCUUUAAUUCAUGUUUCUAUUUUAGUGCAUAAAACAUUUUAUCUCAUGAAACUACCGACUGUUGUACAAUGUUAAUUGAUUUGCUAUAAUUUUGUAGGUAAGGUGGGACGAGGAUGUAGACAUCAGUCGUCAAAAUAGGGUCUCUCCAUGGGAGAUCGAGCCAACUGGUUCCAUUUCAGGCUCCCAUGGUCUCUCCCCGUCCAGCUCGAAAAGGGCAAAAAUGUCUCUUCCCACGGUCAAUUCAGAAUUUCCAGUUCCGAGUAUGUUCACAUGACAUUCUGGAAAAGGCUUGUUUGCUGAAAAUAAUCUUUCUUACUAUUUCGUGAUUCUCUUACUCCUUUCACAAAUCUUUGCAGAUGGAAGUGGUUCCACAGACUUGGGGGAAUCUUCAAGAUUCCACAAGGUCUUGCAAGGUCAAGAAAUUUUGGGUUUUCGUACUCUUCGCGAUGGUAUGGAUGUUUCAAGGAACACCCAAUACCCAUAUGCUUUGAGUGGUUCGAGAAGUGGUGCUGGAAAUCCAGUUGGAAUCUCUGGAUUUCCUCACCAUUGUGCGGGCUUUGGCGAAUCUUUUAGAUUCCAAAAGGUCUUGCAAGGUCAAGAAUUAUUUCCUCAUCAUCGAGGAACUUUAGUUGAUGCUUCUACAAGAAAUUCUGGUUUUGGCUCGUCUGCUGCUUUGAAUAGAUGGCCUGGUCAAGCACAGGGAUAUGCUUCUUUCGCGCAGUCAUCAAAUCCGCCAACUCAAGCAUCUUCUCCAUCAUCUGUGCUUAUGUUUCAACCGACAAACACUGUGAUCCCCCUUAUUCAGACCGUGCAUAGGCAAUGGGAUAAAGGUAACUAAUAUCAACCUACAUUAUAUGCUUUCAGGUAAUAUCAUACCAUCUGAUGCUAACCUUCAAUUUAUUGUAAUCUGGUCCAGCUGUUAAGUGACUUCCAAUUUUUCCUGAUGGGAAAAUAAGGCGACAGCUGAUCAGCUGCCUUAUUCACUCUCUCGGGAAAAUUGCACUCCUCUUGAUUGACGGACCUGAUCAUAAUGGUUGGCUGUAACAAACUAAAAUUUGGUGACCUAAUUGAAUUUUCAUGAUAAGCUCUGUCAGCCUUGUGGAAAAUGGUGUCAGUUACUCUCAAGUUUCACCCUCUUGCAAGAAAAGUAGAAAUUCCCUUACUAAUCUCAUUUAUGUUCUAGGUGAUUGUAUCAACGAGCGCUUCGAGAUGGGGAAUGUCUACACUCGAUAUAUUGCUAAGCCAGGGUUAAAUAACAGGGAUGUUAGCAGGAAUGGUUGCAAACUUUUCGGUUUCUCGCUAACUGAGAGGAUUCCUGUGACGGAUGAAGGGGAUAGCGGGGAGGUCAAUUGUGAAACUGAAUUUCAGGCUUCACGGCCAUCACUGGAACGCAAUUGUACUGCGGAAAGAGCUCUUUAUGCUCUCUGCGCAGCUCCUCUUUAGGACGCUCUUUGCUCUUUAUUAUUAAUAAGUACAGCAGGUUCGCAAGCAAGGGGAAUGUUGCAGGGAUGUUUUCUUGAUGUUCCAAAGUUUCGUAUAAGGUAUUCUAAUUUAGGAAGCUGCAGUGGUAACUUGAUGUGCAAAGAAUGAUGACCGGGAUCUGAACGGGAUCAAUCAGCAAAAUGUUUGUUGUCCAUAACUAUGAUGCAAUUUUUAUGAUGUUAGCGGGCAAUGAGGCUUAACAAUUAACAGGUAGGGUCUUUUCCUUUGCGAUUUUGCUCCUUAAAGUAGUACUGUGAAUCACGAGCGUGGGCAUUGAUUUUAGCUUUUGCUAUGUCUGCAGAGACUUUUUGGCAAGUUUGCCUCCGAUAUUUCGAUAAUGAGUUGUAGAUGAAAAGCAGUACGUUCGAUGGAGAUGCUGCUGCCUUUAUCAGAUGAAGCACCUUUCUCCCUCAAUUUCAACCAGUACGUGGUCUGCGAUCGUCUUAUAAUUUGCAUAUAAAUCUCGCAUUUUCUUGGUUUGCUUCUUACCUGUAUCUGUCCUUCUCGAAUUCUGCUAAGUACUGGUUACGAACCUUAUGUAAGUUAAUUAGGUUAAACGUUCCCUUUAAAUACCGUCAAUGUUGGACCAAGAAAUUGGUAAUUUUCAGGUGUUUGUAUGCCUCUAUUUGUAGUAGUCUUUUUUGUUUCCGAAAGGUGAGUUGAUUUUUAUCUUCUGCAUAAUUUUGUCUAGGAAGUUUAGUACUUAUUACUUGUUCUCUGCUUUGCAAGUUCAUAUAUCACAGACCUCUGCAUGUUCUGAAAGAGAAUACUGGUGGAAGGGUUUCAUGUUGAUAACCAACCAAUGGCUAUGUAGCUAUAUCUUUGUUACAGUAGAGCAAUUUGUAGGGUACCAUUUUAUGCUGUUGCACUUCGUAAAGUUAAUGAAAAGCUUGAGAAGAGUAUCAUUUGUUUGUGGAUAUGAUGUUCUUUGAUUUGGAAGGAAAAAUCAUAUGGAAAUGAGCUCGAAAAAUGGUCAUCAAAGAGGAGCUCUAAAAGUAGAAGUUUAAAAUUGAAGCUACUAAUUUUGUUGUAGCGGUUGCGUCUUUGAAUGGCUUGUUUAAAGAGCACUUUGAAGCACCAGCUGAUUCACACAGGUGUUAAAUGAAAAUUCUCCUCUCCUUUUCAUGAAUAAAAGUUAAGGUAAAAGUGUAUGGAGACCCUCGCAGCUACAGGGCAUUUGGAAAUGGUCCCCCCAACUUUGAACUUUUUUGUAGCGACCUUCUUAUCAAUGAUGAAUUUUUUGAAUUAUGUGAUUUUAAUAAAAGAAAUUAAAGGAUUUUUAUCAAAUUUAUAAAUGAUUUUACCAAAUAAAUGGGUCUAAAAUAAUUAUGGUUAAUGGAUAAUAGAAUCAAAAACUUUAACACCACUUUUAACUAAACUAAUUCGCAUAAUUCAAUUCUAAAAAAUAAAUAAAUAAAGGGCUUUCAACAAAAGUAGUGAAGUUGAGAGAGCUAUUUCAAAAUAACCUAACAGGAUUUUCAUGCUUCUUUAUCUUAAAAUAAACAGAGGUUUUGAAAUUUUUUAGAAUGACAACCACUAAUUCUUAGAGGCCACAUUGAUUACUUGUAUAAUGUCAUAAAGGUAGAUAUACCAUAGUGUCAUUCUCACUACUUUGUUACCCAAAUUGCACUAAAAUAAAUAAUUAAACCCUAUUUAGGUCCAUGUGCACCCAAAAAAGAUUGUUAGGGCUCACAAAAGUAGUCAAAUGUCAAUUAUUGCGUCAAAUAAAAAAAAAUUAAAUAAAUCCAUCUCCCCUUUGUCCCCUGUGGAUAGUGGAUACCUACAAUCUCUCAAAACUUUAUUAAAUGAUGGUAAAAAUGUAUAAAAUUUUACCUCAAUCACCACCUAUUUGCAUUUAACUAUCUAACCUAUAAAAAUUUUAAUUUUAGCAUCCAAUUUUUUAAUUUAUUUAAUAAAUGCAUCGUAAUUAUAAAUUUAUUAUUGACGAGCUAACUAAGAAUAUAAUAAGAGUCUGCUUGGUCCACAGUUUGUAAUAUUUUUGGUAACUUUUCAUGUUAUCUAUUGAAAAUAUUCAAAUCAUUAUUAUUCAACUCAUAUUAGACAAGUAUGAAAGUGUUAGUAAACUAGUAAAAUCAUUAUAGAUUCUCGGCUAGUAGGAGUAUGUACAAUGAAUUAGGAGACAUUCUCAUUUUCGAAUUUAAUAAAAGAAUAUAUUAGUUCAUAAUAACCAUCCAACUUAAGUGACUUGAUAAGCUAGUAUCAAAUAUGUCACUCGAAAUAUAAAAUAUAAAUAUUUUUGAAAUAUUACAUGUCUUGAACCAAACCGCUCUCAAGAGAUAAGUCCACCAACUAGCACAUUAAACCAUAUAAAUUUUGUGUUUAAAUGAAUAAGAAUAAGUUAGAAAUAAUGCCAACUAAGGAAUUGGAAUUACAUGGGAAAUGAACAAGUGGUAGACCAUGUCAAUCAAUUUUCCCAUUUAUCAACAUGAAUACGUCAAUAUAUAUCUAAGGAGAAGUAAAUAAAAUUUUCUUAACUUUUCUUAAAUUUUUUAUUUUAAAAAAUGAUUGAUAUAUAGCCCCUCACAUAUUUUUACAUGUAGGUCCCACUAAUUUAUGAAAAUUAUAUGUAAUAAAUAUUGUCAUUAAAAUUUUUUUAAGCUAUAAAUUAUGUGUAUUGCUAUUUUGUAGUUUAAAAAGUUGGUAAAUUGUGUGCAAGAACUUUUUUUAAAAAAAAUUAACGAAAUUAUGAGUAAAUUAUAACUUAUGUAUGUUGCUACUUAAAAAGUUUUUGGAGUAACUAUAAUUUAUGCAUAUUGUACUUUUUGAUUUGAAAAGUCGGUAAAUUAUAUGCAAUAACUAAUUUUUAUUUUCAUUUCAAAAAAAAAAAAUUAUGUAAACAAUAGGUUAUUUAUAAAGUGGAAUAAAAUUAUGAUAUUGAUUUCUAGUGAUAGACAAGUUUUUUACCUAGCAUUUGAGCUGUUGGAAAAAAAAAUACAGUAACAAUUCAAUUGUGAUUAACUAUUUAACAAUUUUAUAAUUAAUUUAAAUAAUAAAUUUACAGUUAAAUGCCAUGAAUAUUUCAAAAAUUAUUCAAAAAGAAAGAAAAAAUUAGAUCAAUCUGGAAGCGCGCGUAGCACUGCCCUAAGUUGUAUUCCCGUAUUUCAUGCAGGAUUAACUGAAAACACCGCUCUAAGAUACGAUCAGAAUUUCUCUUCCUGCAAGUAUGAAUAUAAAAGAGAUUGACAAAGACUCUUUCAAUAACCGACAAUAAAAAAAUUAAAUAAGGAGAAUAGAAUAAUAAAGACAUGAAAAUAUCUCUCAAAUAAAAUUUGCUUUCUCACUUUUCUUUGUCAAUGAUAUUCGUACAUGAACAGCAGACAAUCUAUCUAUAUAGAAUAUAUAAUUGGUUAGGUUACAUCAUAAUCACAAAGGUGGCUUUUGGAGAAGCCACCUCUCCAUUAUAACCCGUAGCCAAUAAGAACAUGUCUUUUUAGAGUACUAGCUAGGACAUUCAAAAAAUUGAUGUAGAGAGAGAGAGAGAGAGCUUUGUCAAUAUCCUAACUUGGGAGUGGACCACAACUAAGAAAUAUUAUCAAUAAAAUUAUAUAAAACAAUUAAAUUUGGUUACUUAGUUUCGUACGAACAAUACGUCACAUAAAAAAUUAAAAAAAAAAAAACAUGAAGAGAAACAAUAUUAAAUAGCCAAUUUGAUUAAAGAGGUUUGAAGUUGACUUAGGAAUAUUAAUAGGAUAUAAAUAAAAUGUGCAUCAUAUAGUUUAUAUAUAUAUUUUUUUGUAGUAUAAGAAUAUAUAAAAUGAAUAUGCUUUCACAUGUGAUCAUACCACAAAAUGCGUAUAGUGAGAAAACAAGCUUGGUGAGAGUUGGAAAGCAAGAAAGAGCGCAAGACAAAUUUAAAAAUGCCUUCUAUUUUUAUCAACUUAAGUAAAUUA
rnacentral:lncRNA from 1 species